UUUUUCGAUCUUUGGGUUUCA
ensembl:piRNA 21ur-12619 ncRNA